GACGAACGCUGGCGGCGUGCUUAACACAUGCAAGUCGAACGGAAAGGCCCUGCUUUUGUGGGGUGCUCGAGUGGCGAACGGGUGAGUAACACGUGAGUAACCUGCCCUUGACUUUGGGAUAACUUCAGGAAACUGGGGCUAAUACCGGAUAGGAGCUCCUGCUGCAUGGUGGGGGUUGGAAAGUUUCGGCGGUUGGGGAUGGACUCGCGGCUUAUCAGCUUGUUGGUGGGGUAGUGGCUUACCAAGGCUUUGACGGGUAGCCGGCCUGAGAGGGUGACCGGCCACAUUGGGACGGAGAUACGGCCCAGACUCCUACGGGAGGCAGCAGUGGGGAAUAUUGCACAAUGGGCGGAAGCCUGAUGCAGCAACGCCGCGUGCGGGAUGACGGCCUUCGGGUUGUAAACCGCUUUCGCCUGUGACGAAGCGUGAGGGACGGUAAUGGGUAAAGAAGCACCGGCUAACUACG
rnacentral:rRNA from 1 species